ensembl:lncRNA
AAGUGGACCUCAGAGAAAUAAAAAACAAAGGCAGUUCAUGACCCCUUUAAAUUUGAGCUUAUGUUACGAUUAUAUUAAAUUAAACUUUAUAAUAGGCCUAGCCUACAUGUAAUUGUAAAAUUAAAUAGUCUAUCAAAUGGCCCAAUUGAUUCAAGGUUUUCUCAAGACAUCAGUAUGCCAUCUAAAGACAGUAAUAAAUAGGCUAAUUGCUCUAAAUGUCUUCCAAAAGGACCAUGAGUCAUCAUCCUAUGGCUGUAAUAUUGGCUUACCAUCAAAACUGAGGGAGCUAAAAGGGUUGACGUGUCAUAACAAGUCUCAGCAUUUUGGUCAUAGAAUUGAAGAUUGAAACUCAAAGAGAGAAAUACACACCAGAAAAAACACGAGUUCGUUUAGCUAUAAAGGAAGCGAAAAGAUACUGUUAAAAAGAAGAACUUCACAAACAUAGACCACCAACACGUAGGUCUGCAGCUCAGCAUUUCGCAGGUCUUCAAGAUGAUUGCUUUUCUGCUACUUGUGACUCUGGUCUGGUCUCAAAGCCACUCAGUGGAUACAAACUCUAAGCCUUGUAUGCCAGCGAAGUACAACAACGCUCAUAAUGUUUUCCUCAAGCGCCAUAUUCCAGAGGAGGUGCCCAAAACGUGGGACAAUAACGCUUGGGAAACUUUCCUGAGGAAAAUUAAAACGUGUGGCAGACCGACGCAGUCGUUCUUCCGUGCCAGCGAGAAACAGCGAGUGGAGAAUGUGUGUACUAAAGCCGGGGGUAAGACCCUGUCCCGUAACCUGUGCAUCAGUAAAGAGAAAUUCUCCUUCGUAACGGUGCGGGUCGAUAUCAACGAAGGCGCGUGUGGGAUCAAAAACAUCCGCAAUGAGACCAAACACAUCAUCCUCGCCUGUGAACAGAUAGGAGAUGCCUGUCAACCCGUUCAUUUCGAAGGAAACCCUGAAAACACAGCGCCAAGCAAUAACCAGCUGGACUGCGGCUUUAAAGGGAGCUCGGGGACUAAAACUACUGUGAUAAAUGCGUUUGCUUUCCUGUUGACUUCGGUAGUGAUGGUUUACAUUUUGUAAGAGUCAAAGCUAUCUAUAUUUGUAAUGCUACUUCUAAAAAUGCAUGUACUUCUUUGUCGUGAUUAUAAUUGUUUGUUUUUAACAUUUGUUACAAUAAACCCAUUUUAAAACAUACAAGGUGUGUUAAUAUCUGUGCAUUCAAAUAAUAAAUUGGCAUAUUGGAAAGCUGCCUCAACAACGGAAUUAUUUAGUGGCAUAACAGUGAAUACACCUACCUUAUUCCAUAUGGGCCAUGUUUAAUUCAUGAGCAAAAUUCUCUUUAAAACAAAAAACAAAACAAAAAACAACAAAAAAAAAAAAAACACAUGCUUUCUGUGUUUGGUGUAGAUUUGCUCCAAGGCUC